rnacentral:rRNA from 1 species
AUUGAACGCUGGCGGCAUGCUUUACACAUGCGAGUCGAACGGUAACAGGGAGCUUGCUCCGCUGACGAGUGGCGAACGGGUGAGUAAUAUAUCGGAACGUACCCAAGAGUGGGGAUAACGUAGCGAAAGUUACGCUAAUACCGCAUACGAUCCAAGGAUGAAAGCAGGGGAUCUUCGGACCUUGUGCUCCUGGAGCGGCCGAUAUCUGAUUAGCUAGUUGGUAAGGUAAAGGCUCACCAAGGCGACGAUCAGUAGCUGGUCUGAGAGGACGACCAGCCACACUGGAACUGAGACACGGUCCAGACUCCUACGGGAGGCAGCAGUGGGGAAUUUUGGACAAUGGGCGCAAGCCUGAUCCAGCAAUGCCGCGUGAGUGAAGAAGGCCUUCGGGUUGUAAAGCUCUUUUGUCAGGGAAGAAACGGGAGUGGCUAAUAUCCAUUCCUAAUGACGGUACCUGAAGAAUAAGCACCGGCUAACUACGUGCCAGCCGCCGCCGUAA